CGAACGCUGGCGGCGUGCUUAACACAUGCAAGUCGAACGGAAAGGCUCCAGCUUGCUGGAGUACUCGAGUGGCGAACGGGUGAGUAACACGUGGGUAAUCUGCCCUGCACUCUGGGAUAAGCCUGGGAAACUGGGUCUAAUACUGGAUAUGACCUUUCUCCUUAUGGGGUUUGGUGGAAAGUUUUUCGGUGUAGGAUGAGCCCGCGGCCUAUCAGCUUGUUGGUGGGGUGAUGGCCUACCAAGGCGACGACGGGUAGCCGGCCUGAGAGGGUGAUCGGCCACAUUGGGACUGAGAUACGGCCCAGACUCCUACGGGAGGCAGCAGUGGGGAAUAUUGCACAAUGGGCGGAAGCCUGAUGCAGCGACGCCGCGUGAGGGAUGACGGCCUUCGGGUUGUAAACCUCUUUCAGCAGGGACGAAGCGUAAGUGACGGUACCUGCAGAAGAAGCACCGGCUAACUAUGU
rnacentral:rRNA from 1 species